GAUGAAGAACGUAGCGAAAUGCGAUAAGUAAUGUGAAUUGCAGAAUCCAGUGAAUCAUCGAAUCUUUGAACGCACAUUGCGCCCGCCAGUAUUCUGGCGGGCAUGCCUGUCCGAGCGUCAUUUCAACCAUCAAGCCCCAGGCUUGUGUUGGGGACCUGCGUCCGACGCAGGCCCUGAAAACCAGUGGCGGGCUCGCUGUCCACACCGAGCGUAGUAACUAACCUCGCUACGGGAGCGGCGCGGGCGCCUGCCGUAAAACCCCCAAUUUUCACAAGGUUGACCUCGGAUCAGGUAGGAAUACCCGCUGAACUUAAGCAUAUCAAUAAGCGGAGGA
rnacentral:misc_RNA from 1 species